GGAUUGGUUCCCGAGUGGCUAAAGGGGGCAGACUGUAAAUCUGUUGGCUCAGCCUUCGGUGGUUCGAAUCCACCCCAAUCCACCA
rnacentral:tRNA from 1 species